UUUGCAUUUUGAAAAUAUUUGUUUAAUAAUCAACAGUCCAUCCAACAAACAAAAGAAUCCAUUCAAUCAAUCAACAGUAAAAAUCUAAACGGUUGUAACUUUGCUGAACAAAUGGUUUCUUUGAUACUCUAAUGCAUUUCAACUUCACAUUAAAAUAAUUUCUCGUCCCAUGCUUUCACAUUGGCCUACCUCUACCAGCAUAAUAAAUAAAAAUAGAAUGAAACACAUUAUCUUUAAAAAAAAACAAAUGAGAAGUCAAAUGUUCCAAUCAGAGAAAAAGACUCGACUUUGUAUUAUCAGUUCACCAUGUCACUGCCAAAGUGGUAUGUUUUUUCUCCAAAUGACACACAAAUUUGUACAACAUUGACAGACUGCUGGUCACUGAAAACAUUUUGAAGCUAGCACUGAAUGACAAAAACAAUAGAACAAUAAAGCUAAGACAACAAAAAAUUGUUUGUAUGUAAAAAUGACACCAACACCUAAUAUUAAAUGUAAAACGCCAGGUCCCAAUGGUGAGCUAUGAAAACAUGCCAAGGGAAAAAAAAAAGUAAAUGGACAUUCCAGGUAUCUUUGAUUACCAUGGAACUAAAGUACUUUCAUGUUCACAAGAGUUCAUCCUUUUUGUAAUCUAUUUCUUUAGAAGUUUCUACAAAUAUUGAGUAAACAAGAAAUAUUUCAAUUUAACUGUACCUUUAAAGGAAGAAAAUUAAUUUAUUACCAAAUACUGAGAUUUUUUUUUUUUUAAAGAAAACAAUUUAUUGCAUUCAUAUCAGGAUAAUUUAGACAGUAAAUCAUAAUUAACUUAAUUAUUAUUUAACUUGUGCAGCUC